CAUGACCACACCACUGCAUUCCAGCCGGGGUGAGACCCUGUCUCUAAAAACAAACAAUCAAAGAAGAAAAUGAUGACACACUAAUUGAAGAAAGUAUAACCAAAGGCCAGUGGAAUACCAGCAUCUAGCAACUGCAGAAAAACAUUACCACCCAAGCCUGAAAGAGCAAGAGCAAAUGAAGAGUAUAUUAGUUUCCUAUGGCUGUUGUAACAGAUUACCAUAAACUUGUUAAAGAAGAACAUGCUACCCCAAAAUAUGCUACUCUGGCAUAUUAAUAUUUUGACUUAAAUGUACUUGAAAAGCAGCAGUGCAAGAAGAUCACUCUGACCUUCUAAAAGCAGGAGAUGAAAUUCCCAUGUGAAAGAUGUCCUCCCUAAACCAGAAGGAAAAUUUCAUUCUUCUCAUCAAAGAUGAGAAGUUGAGGCCAAGGGAAAUCUGUACAAACAAACCUUGUUAAACUAAUCUUUAUCUUCCUAGUCACUUUUUCACCCAAUUUGUCAGAUUUUCACAAGUUACUACUCUUUGUCCAACUCAGUAUAUAAAUGUUCAACUCUAACUGCUCCUUUGAAUCUUCAUCUCCUUAUGAAGGCUCUUCUGCCACAAAACACUUGUAUUAAAUAAGUUUGUAUGUUUUUUC